AGCACUCUGGCUUAGUGGUUAGCGUGUUUGCCUCACACCCUUGGGGUUAGGGGUUCAAAUCCCAUCUCUGCAC